GACGAACGCUGGCGGCGUGCUUAACACAUGCAAGUCGAACGGAAAGGCCCUGCUUUUGUGGUGUGCUCGAGUGGCGAACGCGUGAGUAACACGUGAGUAACCUGCCCUUGACUUUGGUAUAACUUCAGGAAACUGGGGCUACUACCGUACAGGAGCUCCUGCUGCAUGGUGGGGGUUGGAAAGUUUCGGCGGUUGGGGAUGGACUCGCGGCUUAUCAGCUUGUUGGUGGGGUAGUGGCUUACCAAGGCUUUGACGGGUAGCCGGCCUGAGAGGGUGACCGGCCACAUUGGGACUGAGAUACGGCCCAGACUCCUACGGGAGGCAGCAGUGGGGAAUAUUGCACAAUGGGCGGAAGCCUGAUGCAGCAACGCCGCGUGCGGGAUGACGGCCUUCGGGUUGUAAACCGCUUUCGCCUGUGACGAAGCGUGAGUGACGGUAAUGGGUAAAGAAGCACCGGCUAACUACGUG
rnacentral:rRNA from 1 species